GAUGAACGCUGGCGGCGUGCCUAAUACAUGCAAGUCGAGCGAAUGGAUUAAGAGCUUGCUCUUAUGAAGUUAGCGGCGGACGGGUGAGUAACACGUGGGUAACCUGCCCAUAAGACUGGGAUAACUCCGGGAAACCGGGGCUAAUACCGGAUAACAUUUUGAACCACAUGGUUCGAAAUUGAAAGGCGGCUUCGGCUGUCACUUAUGGAUGGACCCGCGUCGCAUUAGCUAGUUGGUGAGGUAACGGCUCACCAAGGCAACGAUGCGUAGCCGACAUGAGAGGGUGAUCGGCACCACUGGGACUGAGACACGGCCCAGACUCCUACGGGAGGCAGCAGUAGGGAAUCUUCCGCAAUGGACGAAAGUCUGACGGAGCAACGCCGCGUGAGUGGUGAAGGCUUUCGGGUCGUAAAACUCUGUUGUUAGGGAAGAACAAGUGCUAGUUGAAUAAGCUGGCACCUUGACGGUACCUAACCAGAAAGCCACGGCUAACUACGUGCCAGCCGCCGCGGUAA
rnacentral:rRNA from 1 species